rnacentral:lncRNA from 1 species
AAAAAAUAAUGACAAAAUUGAUAGUUUUUCGUAACUUCAAAUGUUAUAACUUUUCCAAUUCUUAUCAAAAUGUAUACAAUUAGGUAUAAAAACAAAGAUAUGAAAAAGACAAGGCACCUACAACACCCAGCUUCAGUUAUCAAACGUUGGUGGUAAUUUUAGUUAUGCCACUGUAAAAGCGUCGAUUGUUAAGUAGACAUAAAAAGUUUGAAGUAUGCACAAAGCCUGAAAGUGUCAAAUAUGGAACCUAAAAAACCUGCCUUUGCCACUGACUGUAUAAAGUGUUUUUAAGGUCUGUUUGUCAAGCAUCAAGUCAGGUUAUCUUGCUACUGGUACCAUGUAGUACAUCCUGCUUAAGCAGGUUGUACGCCAUCCAUACGACGUUUGGGCAUCUGUUUGUAAAAUAUUGCUGCAAAUCUUUUUGAGAGAGCCAUUACUAUGGAGAACCAUCUAAACCAUACAAGUGUGGAAACAUGGAUGUAAAUCUAUAUUAAUGUGAAAUAAACUGAUGAGUUUAUUUAACUUAGCUGGUAAAAAAAAGAGUUUUCGUGAAACAAAUUUAAUGAAGACAGUUAUAGAAUGAAGUUCAUUCAUUUGCUAGCAACAUUUUUAAACGUGGUCCAGAUCAAAAAAAUUUGGUGCUAGAAAUUGUCGAUAGUGGUAGUGAUAGAUGCAUCGAACCUAAUUUGUAAUUAAUUUCUGUAAAUAAAUUUCACUUUACUAA